GGGGAUUUGGCUCAGUGGUAGAGCGCUUGCCUAGGAAGCGCAAGGUCCUGGGUUCAAUCUCCA
rnacentral:tRNA from 1 species